rnacentral:rRNA from 1 species
AUCGAACGCUGGCGGCAUGCCUAAUACAUGCAAGUCGAACGAGUGGCGGACGGGCGAGCAAUGUCUGGGAACCUGCCUGACCGAGGGGGCUAACUACUGGAACCGGUAGCUACAACCGCUUACGGUCGGAUGUGCUCAGAGGGGAUUAGCUAGUGGGUGGGGUAAAGGCUCACCUAGGCGACGAUCCCUAGCUGGUCUGAGAGGAUGACCGGCCACACUGGGACUGAGACACGGUCCAGACUCCUACGGGAGGCAGCAGUAGGGAAUAUUGCGCAAUGGACGCAAGCCUGACGCAGCAAUGCCGCGUGUGUGAAGAAGGCCUUCGGGUCGUAAAGUACUUUCGGCAGGGAAGCGUUACCCGCAGAGAAAGCAACGGCUAACUACGUGCCAGCAGCCGCGGUAAUUC